GGGGCGGGGCGCAGGGCCCGGGGGAGGGAUCGGAAGCAAAGCUCUUCGGUCUCGAUGAGGGCUGUGCGGGGGAUGCUCGCUGUGAAUGACGGGGGUGCUGGGGUCAAUGACCUCCCCCGGGGCCGGGAACACAGGGGUCAGUGUCCUCUCCCGGUGCCGGGGAUGCCAGGGCCGGUGUCCUCCCCAGACACACGGCCCCAGUGAGGUUUGCGAGCCGCCCCCGCAUCCUUCCCCGGCUGCUCCUCGGGGCUGGGAAGGGUUUUCCAGCGUUUCGGCGGAGGGAGGUGGCCUGUCCCCACACAGGGUUGUGCAAAGCCGCAGCUGACGAACCCCGAUGUUAGCAGUUGUCUCUAUAUAGCCACGGGGAACUCCGAAAUGCCCAUGACACAGGCUGUGGCUGCAGAUUCCCGGGACAGAAACGCGAAGUUCGGCGUAACCCACUCCUGGUGUCACCUUCCCCACUCCGGGGAGUUUCCGAGCAGUCGGCGAGGACUAUAAGAGUGGGACUCAGGCACGGGCAGGGCAGAGGCCAUGGAGCGAACCUGGAGCACCACUGCACGCACCGAGACCGCACUAUCAGCCAGAAGGACCAGCUUUUCCUCUUCCAGAGCAGAUGUGGACAGGAGACUUGUCCCCACCGUCUGCUUCCAUGGGUAGAGCUCCCAGUCCAGCUGCGAGAUGAAGGAUUGAGACCUCACUGACGCUCUCCCUCUCUCCCUGUUGCACCCUUUCUCUCUCCCCCCACUGGAGGAAGCCACAGCACAGAGGGGGCCCAGCCUUAGCCCAGCUCAGGAAGGAAGCAGGAGGGAGACAGCAGGAGGUCAGCGAGAGUUGGCAGCAACAUUGCUUUCCAGCUGGGGUGGGACACUUCUGGCAAAGAGGAGCUCUGCUGUCCCUCUUCUCACAGGAGUGUUCAUGGUUGGGAGGUACCAAAUAACUCCCGUAAAAUGCUGUCCUAGGUACGCUCUGCUUCACGCUGCCAAUGGGACAGGAAUUUUGGUAUUUCUGCAACAGCCUUACUGUCUUGUCCAAAACAACAAAAUAAACAAAGCCAUGUCUA